AUUGAACGCUGGCGGCAUGCUUUACACAUGCAAGUCGAACGGUAACAGGCCUUCGGGCGCUGACGAGUGGCGAACGGGUGAGUAAUGCAUCGGAACGUGCCCAGUCGUGGGGGAUAACGCAGCGAAAGCUGUGCUAAUACCGCAUACGAUCUGCGGAUGAAAGCGGGGGACCUUCGGGCCUCGCGCGAUUGGAGCGGCCGAUGUCAGAUUAGGUAGUUGGUGGGGUAAAGGCUCACCAAGCCAACGAUCUGUAGCUGGUCUGAGAGGACGACCAGCCACACUGGGACUGAGACACGGCCCAGACUCCUACGGGAGGCAGCAGUGGGGAAUUUUGGACAAUGGGCGCAAGCCUGAUCCAGCAAUGCCGCGUGCAGGAAGAAGGCCUUCGGGUUGUAAACUGCUUUUGUACGGAACGAAACGGUCCGGGCUAAUACCCUGGGCUAAUGACGGUACCGUAAGAAUAAGCACCGGCUAACUACGUGCCAGCAGCCGCAGUAAUAC
rnacentral:rRNA from 1 species